rnacentral:rRNA from 1 species
UACGAAGGUGGCAAGCGUUACUCGGAAUUACUAGGCGUAAAGGGCAGGUAGGUGGUCUGGUAAGUCUGUUGUGAAAGCUCCUUGCUUAACGGGGAGAGGUCAACAGAUACUGCCAGGCUUGAGUCUAGGAGAGGGUACUGGAAUUCCCGGUGUAGCGGUGAAAUGCGCAGAGAUCGGGAGGAACACCAAUGGCGAAAGCAGGUCCCUGGACAAGUACUGACGCUCAGGCGCGAAAGCUAGGGGAGCAAACAGG